rnacentral:rRNA from 1 species
AGAGUUUGAUCCUGGCUCAGGAUGAACGCUAGCGGCAGGCUUAACACAUGCAAGUCGAGGGGCAUCGGGAGGGAAGCUUGCUUUCCUUGCCGGCGACCGGCGCACGGGUGAGUAACACGUAUGCAACCUGCCCUCUUCAGGGGGACAACCUUCCGAAAGGGAGGCUAAUCCCGCGUAUAUCGGUUUCGGGCAUCCGGGAUCGAGGAAAGAUUCAUCGGAAGAGGAUGGGCAUGCGGCGCAUUAGCUGGACGGCGGGGUAACGGCCCACCGUGGCGACGAUGCGUAGGGGUUCUGAGAGGAAGGUCCCCCACACUGGUACUGAGACACGGACCAGACUCCUACGGGAGGCAGCAGUGAGGAAUAUUGGUCAAUGGGAGAGAUCCUGAACCAGCCAAGCCGCGUGAGGGAAGACGGCCCUAUGGGUUGUAAACCUCUUUUGUCGGAGAACAAAACCCGGGACGUGUCCCGGACUGCGUGUAUCCGAAGAAAAAGCAUCGGCUAACUCCGUGCCAGCAGCCGCGGUAAUACGGAGGAUGCGAGCGUUAUCCGGAUUUAUUGGGUUUAAAGGGUGCGUAGGCGGUCCGUUAAGUCAGCGGUAAAAUUGCGGGGCUCAACCCCGUCGAGCCGUUGAAACUGGCAGACUUGAGUUGGCGAGAAGUACGCGGAAUGCGCGGUGUAGCGGUGAAAUGCAUAGAUAUCGCGCGGAACUCCGAUUGCGAAGGCAGCGUACCGGCGCCAGACUGACGCUGAGGCACGAAAGCGUGGGGAUCGAACAGGAUUAGAUACCCUGGUAGUCCACGCAGUAAACGAUGAAUGCUGGUUGUCCGGGUCGAAUGAGAUCUGGGCGGCGAAGCGAAAGCGAUAAGCAUUCCACCUGGGGAGUACGCCGGCAACGGUGAAACUCAAAGGAAUUGACGGGGGCCCGCACAAGCGGAGGAACAUGUGGUUUAAUUCGAUGAUACGCGAGGAACCUUACCCGGGCUCAAACGGGAGUGGAAUGGACCAGAGACGGUUCAGCCUACGGGCCGCUUCCGAGGUGCUGCAUGGUUGUCGUCAGUUCGUGCCGUGAGGUGUCGGCUUAAGUGCCAUAACGAGCGCAACCCCCGCCGGCAGUUGCUAACGGGCAAUGCCGAGGACUCUGCCGGGACUGCCGCCGCAAGGCGAGAGGAAGGCGGGGAUGACGUCAAAUCAGCACGGCCCUUACGUCCGGGGCGACACACGUGUUACAAUGGGCGGUACAGCGGGAAGCCAGGCGGCGACGCCGAGCGGAACCCGAAAGCCGUUCUCAGUUCGGAUCGGAGUCUGCAACCCGACUCCGUGAAGCUGGAUUCGCUAGUAAUCGCGCAUCAGCCAUGGCGCGGUGAAUACGUUCCCGGGCCUUGCACACACCGCCCGUCAAG